AUCUUUGCGCUUGGGGCAAUGACACAGCUAAUGAGGUACUAAUCGAGGCGCGUCUAUUGCUGGUUGAAAACUAUUUCCAAACCCUCUGGAAGGACCCCCUUCGAGGUUAAGUCCUACAAUUUUAGUUCAAUCUUUUUUUUUUAUUCUGAAAAAU